rnacentral:rRNA from 1 species
GCACAAUGGGGGAAACCCUGAUGCAGCCAUGCCGCGUGUGUGAAGAAGGCCUUACGGGUUGUAAAGCACUUUCAGUAGGGAGGAAGGUAGUGUAGUUAACACCUGCAUUAUUUGACGUUACCUACAGAAGAAGCACCGGCUAACUCCGUGCCAGCAGCCGCGGUAAUACGGAGGGUGCGAGCGUUAAUCGGAAUUACUGGGCGUAAAGCGCAUGCAGGCGGCCUGUUAAGUCAGAUGUGAAAGCCCGGGGCUUAACCUCGGAAUUGCAUUUGAAACUGGCAGGCUAGAGUACUGUAGAGGGGGUAGAAUUUCAGGUGUAGCGGUGAAAUGCGUAGAGAUCUGAAGGAAUACCGGUGGCGAAGGCGGCCCCCUGGACAGAUACUGACACUCAGAUGCGAAAGCGUGGGGAGCAAACAGGAUUAGAUACCCUGGUAG